UGCACCUCCUGCCAACCCAUGGUACUUUCUAGUAUUGAUGUUAGUGCUACAGGAAACUGCUGCUUAUCAGAAGAAUCUGACAAAGUUAGAUGAGCCUGAAGCUCUCAGGGCUUCAUUUUUCCACGUGUGGGCUCCAUUCAAAAGUGCACAGGAAAGUGGCAUUUGAGAUUGAAGCCCCAUGCACACCCAAGAAAAAGUUGACAUAGACCACCCCUACUUCUGAGGAACCACGCAGAAGAUGGCUGUCACUCUCUGCCAAGCUCCUGAGUUCUGUGGUUGUUGUUGUACAUGGCUUUUGUGCAGACCACAAAGCGUUUUUCUUCUCAUGCCUGUGUAACUCUGUGUUGUCUGGCACAGCUGAGAACCCUUGACAUAUAUGGCUACAUGUCAAAGGUUCUUUUCUGCUUCAUAUGAAAGAUGAUUCUCUGUAAGAAUAAGUGGCAAUGUACUGUAUUUGCAUCUUAUCAGCCACUUCUGACUUGAGGUUGUAAUAAUGGGACUUUUAUGAUGCAAAUUGCAAUGUGGAAGGCCCAUAGAAAAUCAAUUGCUAGAUAUUUUAACAUCUUGUUUAAAAUAAACAUUAUUUCAGAAAGUU